UCGCCUGUUUAUCAAAAACAUGGUUUCUUGUAAUUAUUUAGGAGAUCUGACCUGCCCACUGAAAAUAUUUUAAAGGGCCGCAGUAUUUUGACUGUGCAAAGGUAGCAUAAUCAUUAGUCUUUUAAUUGAAGGCUGGUAUGAAUGGUUGGAUGAGGUAAAUUCUGUUUUAUGUUAAUUGGUGUUGAAUUUAGAUUUUAAGUAAAAAUACUUAAAUGUUAUUAAGGGACGAGAAGACCCUAUAGAGUUUAAUAAAUGUAGUAAUUAAUUGAGUUAAAGCUUAAUUUUUGGUUUUUAUGUAAUUUAUUUAAUUGGGGUGAUUGGAAGAUAAAAUAAACUCUUCUUUAUAUUUAAUAAGUUAAUUAGUUGUAUGAUCCAUAUUUAAUGAUUAAAAGAUUAAAUUACCUUAGGGAUAACAGCAUAAUUCUUUUUAAGAGUUCAUAUCGAAAAAAGAGAUUGUGACCUCGAUGUUGGAUUAAGAUUAGUUAUGGGUGCAGAUGUYMAWUAACUAGGUCUGUUCGACCUUGAAAAUCUUACAUGAUCUGAGUUCAAACCGGAGA
rnacentral:rRNA from 1 species